AUUGAACGCUGGCGGAAUGCUUUACACAUGCAAGUCGAACGGUAGAGGGGGCAACCCCUUGAGAGUGGCGAACGGGUGAGUAAUAUAUCGGAACGUGCCCAGUCGUGGGGGAUAACGUAGUGAAAAUUACGCUAAUACCGCAUACGAUCUAAGGAUGAAAGCGGGGGAUCGCAAGACCUCGCGCGAUUGGAGCGGCCGAUAUCAGAUUAGGUAGUUGGUGGGGUAAAGGCCCACCAAGCCAACGAUCUGUAGCUGGUCUGAGAGGACGACCAGCCACACUGGAACUGAGACACGGUCCAGACUCCUACGGGAGGCAGCAGUGGGGAAUUUCGGACAAUGGGCGAAAGCCUGAUCCAGCCAUUCCGCGUGCAGGAUGAAGGCCCUCGGGUUGUAAACUGCUUUUGUACAGAACGAAAAGGUUUCUACUAAUACUAGGAGCUCAUGACGGUACUGUAAGAAUAAGCACCGGCUAACUACGUGCCAGCAGCCGCGGUAA
rnacentral:rRNA from 1 species